rnacentral:rRNA from 1 species
AACGAACGCUGGCGGCAGGCCUAACACAUGCAAGUCGAACGAACCUUUUAGGUGAGUGGCGCACGGGUGCGUAACACGUGGGAAUAUACAUUUCGGUAAGGAAUAACACAGAGAAAUUUGUGCUAAUACCUUAUAAUGACUCCGGUCCAAAGAUUUAUCGCCGAAGGAUUAGCCCGCGCUAGAUUAGUUUGUUGGUGAGGUAAAAGCUCACCAAGACUACGAUCUAUAGGGGGUCUUAGAGGAUGAUCCCCCACACUGGUACUGAGACACGGACCAGACUCCUACGGGAGGCAGCAGUGAGGAAUAUUGCGCAAUGGAGGAAACUCUGACGCAGCCAUGCCGCGUGAAUGAAGAAGGCCCUAGGGUUGUAAAAUUCUUUCAGAUGCGAAGAUAAUGACGGUAACAUCAGAAGAAGCUCCGGCUAAAUUCG